rnacentral:rRNA from 1 species
UACGUAGGGGGCAAGCGUUGUCCGGAUUUAUUGGGCGUAAAGAGCGUGUAGGCGGUUUGGUAGGUCCGCUGUGAAAACUCGAGGCUCAACCUCGAGACGCCGGUGGAAACCAUCAGACUAGAGUCCGGAAGAGGAGAGUGGAAUUCCGAGUGUAGAGGUGAAAUUCGUAGAUAUCGGGAGGAACACCAGUGGCGAAGGCGACUUCCUGGCCUGUUCUUGACGCUGAGGCGCGAAAGCUAGGGUAGCAAACGGG